CCCACAACCCGGGCCUAUGUCCACAACCAGAAUCAAACCCAGGACCCCUCAGUCCACAUGCUCUUAUCACUGAGCCAAACCAGCCAGGUCUAGAAUAGUAUUGUAAUAGUCCAGGUAACACUGACUUGUGAAUUAAGUGCCCAAAAAGUAACUGUUGAAUGGCACUGCAAUAUAGAGGAAUGAGAGGAGUUUCCAAAAAAGAGGCAGUCCCACAACAGUAAAUAUUGAUAAAAUGGCAGCUUCAAGGGAGGUAAGUGAUAGCAAACGGGUUUAAUCAGUGUAUUAAAUAUCUCCAACUCCUUUUCCAGUCACAGAGUAUAUAAAAAGUGGGGCCAAUGAAAUGGGCAAAUGAAGAAUUUGGGGGAGAAUGGAUGGGAAGUUUGGAUAUAACUAAACAGGAAAAGAAAAAAGACCUAAGAUAAAAGUUACUAGAAAAGAGUAAGAUCAAGAACAUAGAUUCAGCUUGCUAAAGAUGAAAGUUUGCUAAUAUGUAAAUAAACACUCAAAACAUUUCUGGUGGUAAUUGGAAAUUGUAAAAAAAUAUUAGUACUAAUGAGAUAUGAAACAAAAGUAAUAUUCUAUUUUUAAAAUUUUUAUGAUGAAUUUUAAAGACAUUUUUGGAAAAUAAAUUGGUACAACAUCUAGAGAGAGCAUUCUGGUACUUUUAUUAGAAUCACAAUAGCCUGGCCAGAGUGACUCGGUUGGUUGAGUGUGCUGUGCACCAAAAACUGCUGGUUCAAUUCCUGGUCUACAUACCUGAGCCGCAGGUUUGGGAUCAGGGGACUAUGGAAGGUAACUGAUCAAUGUUUCAUGGUGAGGACUUAAGAAUUUUAAAUCACAAUGCAUUUAAUCUUUGCCCUAACUACUCUCUAGGAGUUUAUCCUACAGGCCAAGUAGGGAAACUGGACUUUUCACCCCACCAGACAAUGAUAAAUACCCCUACCCCUGUGGUGACAGGAGCCUAGACUUCCAUCUCCAAUAGCAGUGAUGAAGUACCUCCCCCCCUCUGAUAGGGUAUUUCAGAAAAAGCCUGGUGGAGUCAGGACUUUGACCAUGGCCUAGAAUGAUGGGGUAGUAGUGAGGCAGUGCCCCUCCCCUCAAUCUGCUCAAGUGGUGUCAAAAAGCCAGCUGACAGAGGUUUAAAUAAUAUCCAGUCUCAACAAAAAUGUCCACAUUUCAAUAGAAAAUGGCUUGUCAGUCCAGUUCUGAAGGCCCUAAAACCAGGAGUGCUGAAGGCAGAAGAUCCACAUCCCACCUCAACAGUCAGGCAGGAAUUCAACCUUCCUCUUUUUUGUUCUAUUCAGGCCCUCAACAAAUUGGCUGAUGCUCACCCACUACUUUCUCCAAUCUAUCAAUUCAAAUUUUAAUAUUUUCUAGAAAUAUCCUCAGAUGCACACCCAGAAAUAAUGUUUAGCUACCUAUCCCUUAGCCCAGUCAAGUAGACAUACGACUAACCAUCACAACAACCGUGAUAAGUACGUUUCAAGGAAUACACUGAAAAAUAAAUGAAUAGCCUCAAGCAAAGAAUAUAGAACAUCUUAGAAAAGAAAUAGAAGAUAAAAGAAGAGCCACAUGGACAUUUUAGAACUAAAAAAUAAAAUAACAAAAUAAAAAGCUCAUGGAUUGGCCCAACAGUAGAAUGGCAGGAGGCGUCAGAGGAAUCAGUAAACUAAAAGACCAAUAGAAAUAACCUGAUUUGAACAGACUUAAAAAUAAAUAGAACCUCAGAAAACUGGGACGAAAAAAGGGUAGUAUUUGAAAUAAUGGCUGCACUCUUUCCAAAUUUGGCCAUAGACGUAAAACUAAAAAGGCAAGAAGCCAAGGAAAACAAGGAAUCUAUGCAAAUAUAUAAAAUCAUUGAAUUUAUAAAAACUAAAGACAAAAGAACAGUGAAAGCAACCAGAGAAAAGUGACACUUUACCUACCAGGAAAAACUAUUAGAAUAAUAGGUUUAAAAAAAAAAAAAUCAGAAACCAGGAGAAGUAGCAUAAUAUUCCCAAGUAUUGAAAGAAAAAAAUUGUUAACCCAGAAUUCUAUACUCAGUGAAAAUAUCCUUCAGGAAUGAAGAAGAAAUCAAGACAUUCUCAGAUGUAAGAAUUUUACAGCAGCAAACUUAACCUUAAAAGAAUGGUUAAGCAAAACUGAAAGGUCCCAGGUUCGAUUCCGGU